UGAAGAAAUAAUCGAAACUCCAAAUCAACAGUGGUGCGUAGAGUUGGAUCCCUCCAUUCGAACCCCAGCUACGAUAUCCUUAAUGAGUUUAAUUUAACCGGCGAAGUAUUUGAAGGAGCCCCAUAAUCCCACUAAGUGCUAGGGUUAUGAUCUUCGUGUUCAAUUCAAGCUCAUAUUUUUGGAAGAGCACUGGGUGGGAGUUGGAUGUGGUAGUUCCUGUAUGUACGAAAGCUUUGAUUUCAUAUGACUCUAGAAAGAGCUUUAAGGGUGAUGAAUCUUAGUAAUCAAGGAGGAAAAAAGAUAAAUUCGGGGGAAAACAAAAAUACUAAUAGAACUGUGCGAGCUGGAUAGUGGAACUCCUUAGUGUUUGAACUCAUAACCUUUUUCAUUGGAAAAAAUAUUGGUUCCUGCACAAGUGUAUUAAGCAAAUAUACCAAGUGAUCAUACAUGGGUUGGAGCUGUUGCUGGUGUUAUUCCUUCACUACCUUAGGGUUUGUUCCGGAAAAUGGCGAGAAUGUGAAUAGACUCCAACAGUACGUGAUAGGCUGACAUUUUAUUCAAGGAAGUAGGCUAUAAGGCUAACUCCUAUGGGCUCGAUUGGACUGCUAGAUUGACCAAAAAGUGUUGCAAUCAUGAAAAAAGUGUGGGAAAAAAGUUAAAACUCUAUCUGGCUACUUCUCUCUCCUAAAAACUGCUCGCAGUUCAACUAUCAGCGAAAUUAAAAAGCCGAAUAAUUCAUCGUUCAAAAAAUGAACCCAACGCUGAACGAUUCAGCGCUAGGCGAAUAUUCGGGAUAACCGCUGAAUGGUUGAGCGCUGACUAUUUUAUCCUGUGACAACGUUCAACUACUGUUUACACAGUGCUAUGAAUUUUAAAGAAGCACGUACCCCACUUUGA